rnacentral:lncRNA from 1 species
GUUCGGUAACUGCAGACUGGAGCACUCUAGAAUUAAAGAUGGGGCCAUAAGGAGGCUACGCUGUACCACCACCACCACCCCACACAGACACACUCCGAAAAAGGUCUUAGGAGCUACCGCUGCAGGGAGAGAUCUACAGUAGUGUCCAGGGAAGGCAGGGCACUACUGUAGAGAAGGAAGCCUGCACGCUGACAAGAGAGGAGCUACCUGACUUAGAAGACAAACAAGAAAGAAUGUGGACAGGAAAGGCAAGUGUCCCUAACACAGGGGCUCCAAGUCCUCCAGCUAUGCAUGCAUCUGGAACGAUGCAGUUGCACCUGAAUGUAGGCUCAGGC